CUUACGCUAUUUGGGGUUGUCCUUUGAGUGCUUGAUACUCUUCUUCUGGAUGUGCUGUGUGCUGAAAAGUAAUGAAGGAAAACCAAGUUAAUAUAUAUUUGCAUUCUGCUUAACUAAGUUGUGACAAUUACCUAUUUCACUUUAUGUGAUCUGACAAUGCAGGGAACAUACAAUAUAGCACUUGUUUCUCAUUAUUCUCACAUGUACUGUAUGUGAAGGGAUUAAAUGAGAAUUAGUUUAGAAGACAGGAGAGAGAAAAAUAAGUGAGAAGGAGGAAUUGAGAGGUGGGUGUACAGAUGGUAAAAUGUGGAAGCAGGGAAGGAGUGAUGGAAUGUGAUGAAGAGACAGAGAAUUUCCAAUUUUGAGUUAAAUGAUAAGAAGAUGACAUAGGAGUCCAGAAACUGGGGGCAUGUCUUGGGCUUGUUAGGUGGAGGAGGCUUUUGUAACAUGUGAUUGACCCUUUCUCUUUCUUCACUGUUGCAUUUUUUCUCUUUUAUGGGAUGAUAAAAAGUCCAUGGUGGACUCUCUACUUGGGGUUGCAAUUCUGGAUAGUCCCCUUGUGUCUUCUUCAGUAAGGAAAUUCUUGAGCACAUGGAUGGCAGAAGUAAUGGUUGCGGUUCUAUAAAGGAGGACCAUGGUGCCAGAUCGUUAAAAACUUUUACAUAGUGGGCCUUAUUUGGAUUUGGAAGCAAGGCAGAAAUAGCAGGAACCUACACACCCCUUUAAAGUCGGAGACAGAGUCGUGGUGAAGGUGCUCCCCAGGAACAAGAGCCCAGGAGACUUUACCUACGGUCCAGAGACAGAGGUCGUAGCAGUAACCAGAACAGCAGUCCUGACAGAGGAAAGCCCCACCUGGAUCCAUGCAUCCCGAGUGAAAAAGAUUCCUAGACCAGACCUAGAGAGGGAAGCAAGUGAUUCCAGCGAGGUACAAACGGGGGCAGACAGCCCUGACCUCCCACCUAGCGAAGACAGAAGAACAGAGGAGGAUGAGGAACCUGUCCCCUACCUCUAUCCUGGGGACUAUGUUGAUAAUCCUAAUGGUCCUCACUUGCCAAGCUACAGCUGAAGUAGACAUUACACAAAAAUCCGGCACCUACACAUUUUGGUAUAACUCCUCCAAUACUGAGGUUGCCGCCUAUAAAAUAGAUUUCUGUACCAUUGCUCCCUGUCUUAACAAACAUUAUGCCUGGCAGUGUGAUCAGUAUGGUACACGUAAUACCCCCACUGAAGCCUAUAUUUGUGUUACUAGUAAAUAUUGGGGAAAUAAAUGUGCG